rnacentral:rRNA from 1 species
GUGUCAGCAGCCGCGGUAAUACGAAGGGGGCGAGCGUUGUUCGGAUUUACUGGGCGUAAAGGGCGCGCAGGCGGCUCAUUUUGUCAGGCGUGAAAGCCCCGGGCUUAACCUGGGAACUGCGUUUGAUACGGAUGGGCUAGAGUUCGGGAGAGGAGAGUGGAAUUCCCAGUGUAGAGGUGAAAUUCGUAGAUAUUGGGAAGAACACCGGUGGCGAAGGCGGCUCUCUGGACCGAGACUGACGCUGAGGCGCGAAAGCGUGGGGAGCAAACAGGAUUAGAAACCCCUGUAGUCC